UAAUAUGCAAGUUGACUUUUGUGCAUGUCUGCUUACGUGUCCAGGGCACUGUUAAAUUUUGAUCUUACCCAAGAACAAACAGGACGUACGAAAGUAAAGUUCUUAAAUUUAAGAUUAUAUUUGUGAGUACAGACAAUUCAUGCAUGAGGCCAAACAAUGGCCAACAAUGGCUAUGAUUAGUGCAAUGUUGAUUCUAAGUGAUUUAUUAUUAGAACUCAGCCAUUAGAACUGUAUAAGUGCUACGAACUGAAGAAUUAAUUUCCCAAAUGAUUAUAAUUACAUUUUGCAUGCAUGCAGAAUAUUUUAUUGUGAUGACAACUAGGCUACAUUGUGUCUUCAUGUGAACAUAGAGGUGUUUUUGUCACCUACACACUAAAAGAUGCGAGGGACAUAAAUUCCAACGAGCCACUGAGACCCUGCAGCUUUCUAUUCUCAGCUCGAGCUCAGGCCUCUAAAUAUGUGUUGACCACAAAAGCAAACCCGUCACUUUCAGGAUGCUGUGUGACGUAAAACUCUCAACCUGUAUGCAUUGUUGACACGUUAAGUAGCACAUAUAGACUUUAUCGACCUCAAAGUGUGGCUGUGCCACUUAGAUAUGUAGAAAACAAGUUUUUGUGUCUUAGUGUGAAAGCAGAAGCUCCAGUAGCAGCACUUCCUUUAUCUGUCAGCUCAGAGCUAUGUACCAGUCGGAGCUGUAGGUAGCCAGAGAGCAGAGCACACUGAACAGACUUCAGUACAAGAUGUUGGGAAAUGCUCGGAGCCGUUGCUUCUUCACCGGUUUGGCAAAAUGGAAAUGUUUUGUUCUGCUUCUACCGCUGACUGUGUGUUUCGACAGUGGAGGGUACCCAAGAGGUCACUUUGUCACGGUUUCUCCAGUGACUCUUGUGAAAACCAUCAGGAGAGAACCAGAUUUCACUCCAAUUUGCAAGAAUGCAACUC